GUCUGCUUCAGGGUGCACUGUUGAUGAUUUGUUCCUAAAGCAUGGGAGGGCGAGGUUCCUCCAGGAUCACUUAGUGGAUGGUGCUGGAGGUAGGACCAUUGCUAAUGGGGCUGUAGCAUAAUACCCUCAAGGUCCAUCCAUGCUGUCACAAAUGUCCGGAUUUCGUCAUUUCUUAUGGCUGAGUAGUAGGUGAUAACUUUUUAAAUACAACACGAAAGUCACCAUGCAUUAAAAAAAAGAAUUGAUAAAUUACACUUCAUUAAAACUAAAAAUUUCUGCUCUGUGAAAGACACUGUCAAGAGAUUGAAAAGACAAGCCACAGAUUGAGACAAAUAUUUGCAAAAGACAUAUCAGAUAAGAACUGUUAUCCAACAUACACAAAGAGCUCUUAAAACUCAAUGAUAUGAAAAUGAACAACUCAAUUGAAAAAUGGGCAAAAAGUCUGAGAGACACCUUGCCAAUGAAGAUAUACAGAUGGCAAAUACGCAUGUGAAAGGAUGUUCAACAUGAUACAUCAUUAGGAAUUGUAAAUUAAUUAAAAAUGAGAUGACUGAAAUUUAAAAUGCUGACAACACCAAAUACUGGCAAGAUGUGGAACAGAAAGAAUUCUCAUUCAUUGCUGGUGAGACUGCAAAAUGGUGCAACUGGUUUGAAAGACAGUUUGGCAGUUUCUUUAAAAAACUAAACACAGUUUUACUGUACAAUUCAGCAGUUACACUCCUUGGUAUUAAAUAAGUGAGUUGAAAACUUGUGUCACACAAAAACCUGCACAUGAAUGUUUUUGCAGCUUCAUCCAUAAUGAACAAAGCUUGGAAGUGACCAAGAUAUCCCUCAAUAGGUGAAUGGAUGAAUAAAACAUGGUACAAUUAUACAAUGGAAUCUUAUACAUUAUUCUUAUAUAAAAAGAAAUGAGCUCUUUAGUCCUGAAAAGACAUGGAGGAACCUUUAAUGAAUAUGACUAAGUGAAAGAAGCCAAACUGAAAAGACCAUAUAUUUUAGGAUUGCAAGUAUACGACAUUCAGGAAAAGGCAAACUAUAGAGAUAGUAAGUGUUUCAGUGAUUGCCAAGCAUUUGAGCGAGGAAGGAAUGAAUAGGUGGAGCAUAGAGGAUGUGAUUUUUAAGACAGUGAAAUUAUUCUGUAUAAUACUAUAAGGAUGGAUACAUGUCAGUACACCUUUUUCAGAACCCAUGGAAAGUAUAACACAAAAAGUGAACUCUAACUUAGACUGUCAUCUUUCAUUGAAAAUGAUGUGUUGAUGAUGAAUGGUUGAUCAGUUGUAACA
rnacentral:lncRNA from 1 species